GGGGGCUAGGAUGAAAAAUUUUGUCCUGCAUUUUUUUUUAGCUGUAAUCUCUGUCCUUUCCUGCCUUUUUCACUCUUUCGUCCUGCUUUUUUUUUUUAGUUUAUCCUGACUUUUUUUUACCUACAUUGUCGUCCUGACUUUUUUUUUAUACAAGUGUCUCAUCCUGCCUUUUUUUUUUACUCAAAACUCCUGUCCUGCCUAUUUUUUUCAAAUUUCAUCCUAGCCCCCCCAUAAAAAUCAAAUGGUAGCUCCCUAAACAUAAAAUCCAAUUCAGAGAGACGAUAUUUAUAGAUUAUUACAUGGCAUUUUCCAUAUGGCCCUGGUAUCAGCCCUAGACUCCC
rnacentral:lncRNA from 1 species